rnacentral:ncRNA from 1 species
GUCCUAAGGCGAGCUCAGGGAGGACAGAAACCUCCCAUGGAGCAGAAGGGUAAAAGCUCACUUGAUCUUGAUUUUCAGUAUGAAUACAGACCGUGAAAGAGGG